UACGGAGGGGCUAGCGUUGUUCGGAAUUACUGGGCGUAAAGCGCACGUAGGCGGCUUUGUAAGUUAGAGGUGAAAGCCCAGGGCUUAACCCUGGAAUUGCCUUUAAGACUGCAUCGCUAGAAUCGUGGAGAGGUAAGUGGAAUUCCGAGUGUAGAGGUGAAAUUCGUAGAUAUUCGGAAGAACACCAGUGGCGAAGGCGACUUACUGGACACGUAUUGA
rnacentral:rRNA from 1 species